ensembl:snoRNA SNORA70 Small nucleolar RNA SNORA70
CUGAUCCCAGUGUACAAUGGCUGCAAACAGCAGCUUUCUUGGUGGUGUACAUGGCCUGUUUCUUGUAUGGGUUGCUCUAAGGGUCCUUGGAGACAGGC